UACAGAGGGUGCUAGCGUUGUUCGGAAUCAUUGGGCGUAAAGGGCGUGUAGGCGGUUUGUUAAGUCAUGUGUGAAAUCCCUCGGCUCAACCGGGGAACGACGCAUGAAACUGGCAAGCUAGAGUACCAAAGAGGGGGGUGGAAUUCCCGGUGUAGCGGUGAAAUGCGUAGAUAUCAGGAGGAACACCUGUGGCGAAAGCGGCUCACUGGACCACAACUGACGCUGAGGCGCGAAAGCUAGGGGAGCAAACAGG
rnacentral:rRNA from 1 species